UAAGACACAGUUCAAACCACAUUUUAAAAAUAAAAUGUGGCUCGUUUAUAUCAAGUGUUCUGCCUUGCAAUAAGAAAUUUCAUAAAAUAAAAUAGCAAAAUGCUUGCAUUGGUUUUGAUUAAAAACAUCACUAAAAAUGCUUUUUAGUACCAUAACGGUAUUUACUAACAUAAUAUUUUUUACAAAAAUAUAUUUUUUAAAGUGUUAUAGGCUACCAUACCCAAUAAUUAGGGUUAAGGUUAAAGGCUAAAAUAGGUUAUAUAUGGGGUUAAGGCUAAAAUAGGUUAUAUCUAGGGUUAGGGUUAAGGCUAAAAUAGGUUAUAUCUAGGGUUAAGGCUAAAAUAGGUUAUAUCUAGGGUUAAGGCUAAAAUAGGUUAUAUCUAGGGUUAAGGCUAAAAUAGGUUAUAUCUAGGGUUAAGGCUAAAAUAGGUUAUAUCUAGGGUUAAGGCUAAAAUAGGUUAUAUCUAGGGUUAAGGCUAAAAUAGGUUAUAUCUAGGGUUAGGGCUAAAAUAGGUUAUAUCUAGGGUUAGGGUUAAGGCUAAAAUAGGUUAUAUCUAGGGUUAGGGCUAAAAUAGGUUAUAUCUAGGGUUAGGGUUAAGGAUAAAAUAGAUAUGAGGUUUAACGGCGGCUGGCAUCCAAUUUGUUGCAUUACCG